AACACAGGACUGCAAAUUUCCAGCAGAGCCCUCCUGGGUUAUUUCACAGUCCUAUGCAUCGGGAUUUCAGCGGCAGAGGAGGAGGAGGAGGACAACCAUCUGCAACCCCCACAAGCACCGGGCGGCUUUCGAUCCCCAACCCUGAACAAAAUGUUACAGAUGCAGCAUAAAGAGAAGAAAUCAAGCAAAUGGAAAAGGGACAAAAGGAAUAGCGGCAAGCCACAAGGGUAUCUGCAAAGAGAAAUAAUUUCAUCCAAAAGGCUCCGCAGCUCCAAUGGAGGUGUUCACUUGCCUGUUUUACAUCCCGGUGUUGCCGUUUACGUUUCCAGGCACAUCAACCUCUGGAAGCUGUGAUCCGGCAUCAGCUCCUUUCCAUACUCUGCGAAGUGCCACCAGCUCCAGCAUCAGGAGCAGGGGUUUGGCAGAGUCAUUAGAGAAGACAGGUAGGUAUGAAAGCCAUUCAGGCAAGAAAGGAUCCCGAGAGUUGGAAUAAUUGCAUUAUUAACUACAAGUCUGACUGCCUGUUCCCGCUCCCAUUGAUGUCAGUAAGGAAUUUUACUGUGACCUUCAGGGAAAAUAGGAUCAGGCUCAUUUUUGGGAUGAGCAGAUCAAAACCUGGUACAAAAUGCUUGGACACAUGAUUGCACUGGGACUUGAAUCUUGUUUUUUUCCUGAUGUUCCCAUGCAAGGAUGUCCAAGAGAUUAGAUUAAAAGAAAAGAUUUUAAGGUCCCCCUGACAAAAGAAAUAAAAUGGAGAAAGCC